UACGAAGGGGGCUAGCGCUGUUCGGAAUCACUGGGCGUAAAGCGCGCGUAGGCGGCUUUGCAAGUCAGAGGUGAAAUCCCCAAGCUUAACUUGGGAACUGCCUUUGAAACUGCAAAGCUAGAGUGUCGGAGGGGAUGGCGGAAUUGCUAAUGUAGAGGUGAAAUUCGUAGAUAUUAGCAGGAACACCGGUGGCGAAGGCGGCCAUCUGGACGACAACUGACGCUGAGGCGCGAAAGCGUGGGGAUCAAACAGG
rnacentral:rRNA from 1 species